GCUCAGCUCAUAUAGGACCACACCUUAGCUCUCGCUUUAGCACAUUUUAAAUCCUGCAAAAUUUUAGCUCCUCCCGUUUCAAACGAACUGUAAUAUAAUUUCUCUCGCUAGCUAUAUGCUUUCUUGCUAUAGCUUCUGCUCUAUAAAUAAGCUUACAUGCCCUAGCCCCUCUCUUCACUCUUCACCUCUCCAUUUAGCUUUGUGAUGUGUGCACCUUAAGCAGCUGAAGCUGCCAGCAUGAUCUGAUCUUUUGCGAUCUCUUUUUUUAUCUGAAUAAGUUGAUGGAAAUAUUGGGUUCCUAAGAUUCAGAUCGUGCUGCGCAGUUUCAUCUGCUAAUCGAUGCACUACACUGUGAAUUUCUUUCUAUCAUAUAUUACUAUCAUAUAUUUCUAGAUCUUAUCUGAAGAUUAGACAGAAAAAACGCAAUAUAUAGAGUAGAUCCAGACAGAUCAGCUGUCUGAUCGAUCUUGCAUGCAAAAACCCGUGGAGAUUGAGAUCUAGACAGAUCGUACUUAUGCAUAUAUAUUGACUGUUGUAAUCUGCACAGGAGUCAUAUGCAUAUUGAUCGAUCAACCGAGGUAUGCAUGCAUAUAUAUGGUUUAUCUCUG
rnacentral:precursor_RNA from 2 species